rnacentral:rRNA from 1 species
UGUAAAAACGACGGCCAGUGAAUUGUAAUACGACUCACUAUAGGGCGAAUUGAAUUUAGCGGCCGCGAAUUCGCCCUUAGAGUUUGAUCAUGGCUCAGAACGUACGCUGGCGGCACGCCUAACACAUGCAAGUCGAACGAAGUAGCAAUACUUAGUGGCAGACGGGUGAGUAACAUGUAGGUAUCUGCCCUUUGGCCUGGAAUAACACGAGGAAACUUGUGCUAAUACCGGAUAAGUCUUUACGGAGAAAGCUUUAUGCACCAUUGGAUGAGCCUGCACUUGAUUAGUUUGUUGGUGGGGUAAUGGCCUACCAAGACUGUGAUCAAUAGCUGAUUUGAGAGGAUGAUCAGCCACAUUGGGACUGAGACACGGCCCAAACUCCUACGGGAGGCAGCAGUGGGGAAUCUUGCACAAUGGAGGAAACUCUGAUGCAGCGAUGCCGCGUGAGUGAAGAAGGCCCUUGGGUUGUAAAGCUCUUUCGUCGGGGAAGAAAAUGACUGUACCCGAAUAAGAAGGUCCGGCUAACUUCGUGCCAGCAGCCGCGGUAAUACGAAGGGACCUAGCGUAGUUCGGAAUUACUGGGCUUAAAGAGUUCGUAGGUGGUUGAAAAAGUUGGUGGUGAAAUCCCAGAGCUUAACUCUGGAACUGCCAUCAAAACUUUUCAGCUAGAGUAUGAUAGAGGAAAGCAGAAUUUCUAGUGUAGAGGUGAAAUUCGUAGAUAUUAGAAAGAAUACCAAUUGCGAAGGCAGCUUUCUGGAUCAUUACUGACACUGAGGAACGAAAGCAUGGGUAGCGAAGAGGAUUAGAUACCCUCGUAGUCCAUGCCGUAAACGAUGUGUGUUAGACGUUGGAAAUUUAGGUUGUCCCAA